rnacentral:lncRNA from 1 species
UUUGUAGUGUGUUCAACAUUUCUGGAAGGCUAGACAAUGGUUAACUCUAGAAAGUGUGUCUGGAAAUUUUACUUUUUACCUUAUAAUCUUCUUUGCUAUUGGGAUAUUUUAACCAUGGGCAAAUACUAACUUUGAAAUAAAAAGCUACUUUUUUUUUUUUUUUUUACUUUUACAAAUGAAAAAGAGAAAUAUCAUCUGUUUAAGGAAAGUUUCUGUGGAAAACACAGAGUUUUAGUUUUCCACCUCUCUUAAA